UGAACCAAACUGAAUUAUAUUAAAAUCGAACUUAAUUACAAAAUUAAAGUGGUUCAAUUCAAUUUAUUCGGUUUGAAUCAAAUAAUGCUCACCCCUACACUAUAGCGUAGUUCUUGAAAAAGUCAUAGUUAUAUCAAAGCGCCCUUACAUGUGUACAGCUAUUUUGUCAAGGGAUACAUAAGUAGGGGUUUUGUUUACUCGCCAUGGCUAUAGAUAUCAUUAGUUUAUCAGUAAUUUAUGCAAAUUAUGCAUUUAAUCACCAGUUAAUGCCCUCGGUCUGUGCGCAAUGGUAGACAAGGACAUCCCAGUCUGAGAAACUGCUCUCACAAAGGCCAUGUUUGCUGUUAAAGUUGGAGCAUGCCAAUGAUCACCAGUCCCAAAAACCACCUUGUUCUUCAAUGCCAGCUUUCUAGUUGUAGGAAGCCACAUCAUGCGCUCUGAAGGACUAUCAGGCACAACCGUGAGGUGUUUCAGAAUCUUAUCAGCUCUUAACUUCUCGUUAGGUCCUCCACAUAAUGAAACCAACUCUUUGAACUCUACAAGAACACUUUCACAUAUCAUGCCUCUCUUUCCAGAUAUUACACCAGCCAGUUCCGCAUGUAUUGGAUUCUGAAUUUCAGACAAGACCUGGCAAGAGGUUCGGAAAAGAUUUAUUCAAACUGAACUUGGACAAUGAUAUGCACUAUGACAGUUUUUUUUCCCCAAAAGAAAACCUUUUUGGAAUCCAUUGGGAGGCAUACUGAACUUCAGACCUCUAAGAUGAAACUCCCAAACACAAAGAAUCUUAUCAAAAAUUACUAUACAGUACCAAUUAAUAGGUAGAUGUGUUGCACCACUGUAGCACAUAUCUUAGUAAAUGCCAUUUGCAUGGUGAUAUGUCAAACAUGGCUAUCCAUCAUUGCUUAUUGACUCACCAUUGAAUGCUUGGACAAAAAAGAUGGGUUAAUGCCUACAAAAAUCCAAAUCGCUUGUAAAGUUCUCAAGUAUAGCUAUUUUUAUAUUUGCAUCAACUAUAUAAACCAACUCUGACAUUUGCAUCAAUUGUGGGCAGCCCUUUAGAAACCCAAAUUGAAACAUUAAUUAUCAGAAAAACCUUUUCCAAAUCUGCUUUGACCUCCUACCUCUACCCCUUCUCAAUUCUCACUUCAAUCACAUGUCUCUCUAGUUCAUCCAGAUUGCUCCCUGCAUCAAUUGCACUUUUCCUAGUCCACUUAUGCCUCUUUCUGCACUGCUUGUGUAAGUACUAUUUGCACCAAUUCCACCUCUACCUCUUCAUACACCUGCACCAAAAUCACUUUCUGCAAACCGCACUUCAUAUGCACUCACUCCCAACUUAGGACUUCUUAAGAUGGCCAUAAUUAAUAGAAAUUUUAAACUUGAUGGAUAUAAUUGAAAAAAAAAAUUGUAGUAAUUGAAAGUUUUAUUAAAGUUUUGGAUUUAAAUUAAUCAUUAAUUCCAAAAAAAUAAACAAACAAAAAAAGUGGAGAGGGCCUGAGGAAACAAAAAAUAGUUAUAUGCAGAGAAGAAUAAUCAAAUGGUUAACGAUAUUAAAUUAAUCAAAUUGGUUGCAACAAGCAUUGCCGCCACACCACAUUUAGAGAUUAAGCAGAAGUGUAGGAUAGGAGCAAAGUUUGUGUGCAUUCUUACUUAACAAGUGAUGCUGCAAGACAAGCCAAUGUGCCCCUUUUUAUCACAUGAUUUUUCUUACAGUCUCACCUCCUCAGCUUGGAAUCAAAUCAAUGCAGUAGACCGGCUAUUGCUUAGCACUAAUUUUGACAUAUUGCAAGAUAAGUCAAGAGAGCCUAUAUAAAAAAGUUUUAACAAAGGUCGUAAACUUCCUAUGUUUAUGUACACACUAUCUUUUAUUGUACAUUAAACAGCCUACAUAUACACCAGCAGUACUAUCCAUGCAAACCAUAUCAAACCCAAUGAAUUUACAAGCAGAAAGGCAUAACUAACACUGAUGACUAAACUAUGGACAAUGAUUGUGAAAAUCUUGUGGCCUUGGAUCAGAAUUAGAAAGAAGCACAAAACCAAAAAGUAAACCUAACCUGUGCAAUCACAAACUCAAAGUUACCCUUAAACCGCUGCCUCAAUUCAAUCUCUGGUGUAGCCAAAAGUUUCUCACUACAACCAUUGCUGAUGCCCGAUACAAGAGCAAUAAGAGCUGUUGUAUCAAAAUUUAUAAGAUCACCAUCGGGUUUAACUUUGGGAGACCAUAACUUGAGUCUUGAAAUAAGAGAACAAAGCCCAUCAUCCUCAUCCAAGUUUACUUUGGUGUGCUCUUCUUGAAGCUCUAGCCCAACAGAAUCAACAACUGAUUCUUGAACAGACCCACAUUCCGAAUUCCUGUCAACCUUUAUCUGAAGAAAAAGCGAAUGUUUAUAUGGUGUUCGAAGCACAUUUAUCCAAUCCCCUUCCAAUUCCUCGCAGAAAUCAAUCUCAAAUGCCCCAAAUUCGUCACACAGCUUCUGGAAGAAAAAAUCACCAAGUCCACGAGAAAAGAAAAGAAGAAUUGAAGAAGGUUUGAAUAUCUGGGCAGAGCGGGCACCAUCCAGGAGUCGUUUAAUUCUCGAUUUUAAGUACAAAUUCCAAGAAAGAUACUUGGGAUUUCUAUCAGAAGCAAUGAUCCAUACUGGGUUUUUAUUGACAGUGCAAACUAUAUCAACAUGGACAGUGAGUGCUUUCGAAGAAGAAAAAGAAGAAGAAGACGACACAGGAA
rnacentral:misc_RNA from 1 species